AACGAACGCUGGCGGCGCGUCUUAAGCAUGCAAGUCGAACGGCAAGAGAAGAGCUUGCUCUUCUCCUAGAGUGGCGGACUGGUGAGUAACACGUGGGUGAUCUACCCUUGAGAUGGGGAUAGCCGUUAGAAAUAGCGGGUAAUACCGAAUACCCUCACGUUCAUAAAGAGAUGUGAGGAAAGGAAGCUACGGCUUCGCUCGAGGAUGAGCCUGCGUCCCAUUAGCUAGUUGGUGAGGUAAAGGCCCACCAAGGCGACGAUGGGUAUCCGGCCUGAGAGGGUGAUCGGACACAUUGGGACUGAGAUACGGCCCAAACUCCUACGGGAGGCAGCAGCUAAGAAUAUCCGCAAUGGACGGAAGUCUGACGGAGCGACGCCGCGUGGAUGAAGAAGGCUGAAAAGUUGUAAAAUCCUUUUGCUGAUGAAGAUAAGGGUAGGGGGAAUGCCUAUCUGAUGAC
rnacentral:rRNA from 1 species